AGUGUGACAAUGGUGUUUUCCA
rnacentral:miRNA from 1 species